GGGGGCGUAAAGGUUUCGACGGGGGUAGUGAAGCCGGGUAAGCGAGCCGCAGUUGGUUCGGUCUGCGUUAAAAAGGACCCGUUAAAAAGAAACGAUAAAACAAACAACAACUUCGCAUUUGCCGCUUAAUUAAGCGCACGCGCGUCGGACCGUCUUCACCUGCAGGGGCGGAUCCCGGCGUCGACUAUGCAGGAAACCUUCCUUAAAGUUCCCGGUAUAGGGGAGGGCUAACGGGAUAGGAUGUUUCAAGUCGCGUCGGUGGGCCUUGAAAUAUCCGAAACAUGAACUGCCGUCUGCGCUCGGAGAAAACUCUGUGGAUUUGCUUUCGGACGCGAGUUCGAUUCUCGCCGCCUUCACCA
rnacentral:tmRNA from 1 species